rnacentral:rRNA from 1 species
GACGAACGCUGGCGGCGUGCCUAAUACAUGCAAGUAGGACGCAGUUGCGAACGGGUGAGUAACGCGUAGGUAACUACCUAUUAGAGGGGGAUAACUAUUGGAAACGAUAGCUAAUACCGCAUACUAGUAGAUGGACCUGCGUUGUAUUAGCUAGUAGGUUGGGUAAUGGCCUACCUAGGCAACGAUACAUAGCCGACCUGUGGGGGUGAUCGGCCCAAAUGGGGAUUGAGACCGGCCCAGACUCCUACGGGAGGCAGCAGUAGGGAAGUUUCGGCAAUGGGGGGAAACCUGACCGAGCCACGGCGCGGGAGUGAAGAAGGGUUUCGGGUCGUAAAGCUCUGUUGUUUAGGAAGCGGUACUUAACCAGAAAGGGACGGCUAACUACGUGCCAGCAGCCGCGGUAAUAC